rnacentral:rRNA from 1 species
UACGGGGGGGGCAAGCGUUGUUCGGAAUUACUGGGCGUAAAGGGCUCGUAGGCGGCCAACUAAGUCGGACGUGAAAUCCCCAGGCUCAACCUGGGAACUGCGUCUGAUACUGGAUGGCUUGGAUUCGGGAGAGGAAUGCGGAAUUCCAGGUGUAGCGGUGAAAUGCGUAGAUAUCUGGAGGAACACCGGUGGCGAAGGCGGCAUUCUGGACCGAUAUUGACGCUGAGGAGCGAAAGCCAGGGGAGCAAACGGG